GACGAACGCUGGCGGCGUGCUUAACACAUGCAAGUCGAGCGGUAAGGCCCUUUCGGGGGUACACGAGCGGCGAACGGGUGAGUAACACGUGGGUGACCUGCCCUCAGCUCUGGGAUAAGCCUGGGAAACCGGGUCUAAUACUGGAUAUGACUCCAUGACGCAUGUUGUGGGGUGGAAAGCCUUGUGCGGCUGAGGAUGGGCCCGCGGCCUAUCAGCUUGUUGGUGGGGUGANGGCCUACCAAGGCGACGACGGGUAGCCGGCCUGAGAGGGCGACCGGCCACACUGGGACUGAGACACGGCCCAGACUCCUACGGGAGGCAGCAGUGGGGAAUCUUGCGCAAUGGGCGAAAGCCUGACGCAGCGACGCCGCGUGAGGGAUGACGGCCUGG
rnacentral:rRNA from 1 species